rnacentral:rRNA from 1 species
AAACUUAAAUGAAUUGACGGGGACCCGCACAAGCGGUGGAUGAUGUGGUUUAAUUCGAUGCAACGCGAAAAACCUUACCCACCUUUGACAUGUACGGAACCCUUUAGAGAUAGAGGGGUGCUCGAAAGGGAGCCGUAACACAGGUGCUGCAUGGCUGUCGUCAGCUCGUGUCGUGAGAUGUUGGGUUAAGUCCCGCAACGAGCGCAACCCUUGUCAUUAGUUGCUACAUUCAGUUGGGCACUCUAAUGAGACUGCCGGUGACAAGCCGGAGGAAGGUGGGGAUGACGUCAAGUCCUCAUGGCCCUUAUAGGUGGGGCUACACACGUCAUACAAUGGCUGGUACAAAGGGUUGCCAACCCGCGAGGGGGAGCCAAUCCCAUAAAGCCAGUCGUAGUCCGGAUCGUAGUCUGCAACUCGACUACGUGAAGUCGGAAUCGCUAGUAAUCGUGGAUCAGAAUGUCACGGUGAAUACGUUCCCGGGUCUU